rnacentral:rRNA from 1 species
CGCGGCCUAUCAGCUUGUUGGUGAGGUAGUGGCUUACCAAGGCGACGACGGGUAGCCGGCCUGAGAGGGUGACCGGCCACACUGGGACUGAGACACGGCCCAGACUCCUACGGGAGGCAGCAGUGGGGAAUAUUGCACAAUGGGCGCAAGCCUGAUGCAGCGACGCCGCGUGAGGGAUGAAGGCCUUCGGGUUGUAAACCUCUUUCGUCAGGGAAGAAGCGAAAGUGACGGUACCUGAAGAAGAAGCACCGGCUAACUACGUGCCAGCAGCCGCGGUAAUACGUAGGGUGCGAGCGUUGUCCGGAAUUAUUGGGCGUAAAGAGCUUGUAGGCGGUUUGUCGCGUCUGCCGUGAAAACCUAGGGCUUAACUCUGGGCGUGCGGUGGGUACGGGCAGGCUAGAGUGUGGUAGGGGAGACUGGAAUUCCUGGUGUAGCGGUGAAAUGCGCAGAUAUCAGGAGGAACACCGAUGGCGAAGGCAGGUCUCUGGGCCAUAACUGACGCUGAGAAGCGAAAGCAUGGGGAGCGAACAGGAUUAGAUACCCUGGUAGUCCAUGCCGUAAACGUUGGGCGCUAGGUGUGGGGCUCAUUCCACGAGUUCUGUGCCGCAGCUAACGCAUUAAGCGCCCCGCCUGGGGAGUACGG